ensembl:lncRNA
CAAGCACUGAGUCAGCCAUGGGAGCACAGGGAGGACCUUCCUCUCCUGGUACCCUUGAAACAUCUGUACUACUCCCUGUGAUUCUUUGAGCCUCUAAGAUCACUGGAAGGAACAAAAUGCCAUCAAAGCAUUCCAGUGUUGCUGUGAGAUCAUGUGCAACACCCAGUGAUGGUCUACCUGGGACCUGUUCUUCCUGUGAGUCUAUGACACGGACUCUGUCUCCUGCCCUUGGAGAGCACAUUGGUGAAAACCAAAGUAAAGAAGGCACUGAGUAUCUUAGCAUUUUCUUUUUACACAGUCUUGGUAAGACAGCCUCCUUUCCCUGUUCAGCUGUGGGGUGAGACUUUUCUUAUUUGUUCUAUCAUUGCUAAUUGAUAAAAUGAUAAAUUCAAACUUCAUCCAUCCAUCAAAAUAUGGCUGAAUGAUUGCUCAGUAAGCCUUCAUUGCACAUAUCUAAAGGUGUGUUUUUUCUAAAGCUAAAUUCGGAUGUAUUUCUUAUUUCUGCUAAUGAAGUUAGAAUGUGCUAUUGAUCCAGAUCUCUUGCAGC